GGGGCCGUAGCUCAGUUGGGAGAGCGCCACGUUCGCAACGUGGAGGCCAGGGGUUCGAUUCCCCUCGGCUCCACCA
rnacentral:tRNA from 2 species